rnacentral:rRNA from 1 species
GUUACAACUCUGAGCGGUGGAUCACUCGGCUCGUGUGUCGAUGAAGAGCGCAGCCAACUGUGUGAAUUAAUGUGAACUGCAUACUGCUUUGAUCAUCGACAUCUUGAACGCACAUUGCGGCCAUGGGUUAGCCCAUGGCCACGCCUGUCCGAGGGUCGGCUU